rnacentral:lncRNA from 1 species
CUAUUUUUUGGCACAGGCUCAUAUAAAAUUAACUUCUGGCCAUUUUUCAUAAGUCUGAUACAUGAAGUAUGCUUUCUGUUGCUUUAAAUAGAUGUUAACUUAUACAUAGAGACAUUAAAAAGUGUUAGUUUUGGUAUCUUUUGGUUUUUAGAAGCUCAAAUUUGAUAGUUGAAAUUGUUCUAAUUCAACGCCACAAUUCAGCACCCAAAGUUCAGAUAUAAAAAAUGCCACAUUUUUUUUAUUUGGUAUCAUAUGGCUUUGAAACUUUGUAAACUGUUUUAUAAUAUACUAAGCUUGAAUCAUGCCAAGUUUUAUUAGAAUUGGUCAAGUUUUAGGCCCCUAAUAGGCCCAAGACCACAAUUAAUGACCCCGCUUUUCGUUGUCCACGAAUAUAGUUCCUUUUAAUUAGAGUGUAUUUUUCCUUAAUUUUUUUUCUUUCCCUUCCUCACUCAUUUCUUAGAUUUUUUUUGGUGGAAAUGAAAGAAGAGAGGUGAAAUAAAUUUUUGGAUGUUGUAUUUUAACUGAUUUUGAUUUGGAAUGAGUGAUUAGGCCAAGUGCAAAAAGGUAAUAUUUACAGUUUUCGGAACAUCUCUUGACUUGUCAAUAGGGGUAUGGAUGUGUAUUGGCUAAAUUUGUAAAAGUGAUUGCUACAAUCUUUCUGAAUUUUGGAUAUAUAUAUUUGGACUAGGACUAUACAUUACACACACAAAAAAUUGGACAAAAGUGCAUGGUGCAAUUUUUUUAAUGAUGCAAAAGGUUAUAAAGAACUGAUAGAGGAAUUAAUUGUGGUCUGUGGCCAGAUGA